GGAUAUGAGGGCGAUCUGGCUGCUGCAUCUGUCACUGCAUUGACCACCAGGGUUGAUUGGGCUGAUCUGGCUGGUGAGGCGAGUGUCCCCCUCCUCCCUCAGGGGUCCAGAGCAGCAAUGUCUUGUGUGAGGGGCCAGUUGUGUAGCUCCAGACACACAAUUUUUAUCCACAUCUGGCUUUCUUAGAAAAGCCAAAGUUGCUCAUUUUGAGUGAAAUCCUCCAAUUUUUCAGUACU
rnacentral:snRNA from 1 species